rnacentral:lncRNA from 1 species
AAAGGCCAAAAGAAUUGUCAUCGUAGCAAGAAGGCUCACUUUCUUCCUUGCACAGAGCAAAAGCAUAUCAUCAGCGAAUUGAAGCCUGCGAUGGUAAAAGAAAGUUGAAAUGGUUGCUAUACUGCUUUGACUCGAAACUUAAUGACUUAAGCUUUUUUUUGUUUAGCUUGGAUCCACCUAUCUCUCCUGAUUAUUUAUUGAACUAAAUAAUUUUAAAUCAUUUAUGAGUGUAAAUGAUUUUAAAUCAUUUAAGAGUGUAGCAAUCUUAUACCCACAAAGCA